UAAUCAAACACACCUGAAGCAGCUAAUCAAGGUCUUAGGUAUACUAGAAACUUCCAGGCAGGUGUGUUGAGGUAAAUUGGAGCUAAACUCUGCAGGACACCGGCCCUCCAGGAUCAAGUUUGGUAACCCCUGCUUUAUGCAAUAUGAAUUUUUCGGACAGGGUGGACCCAUGAUUGCUGGCUGUGUGGGAGGACAUUGUUUUAGUAUGAGGUGCAGCAUCUACUGCAGUGCAACAGUCACAUUAAAACAGUUACCACCACCUCAACCCAUCCUACUCUUCACAUCUGCUCAACAUCAAUGUAGAUCAGCUCCAACCUGCUGGGUGAAGUAGGUCCGAAGCUCCUGUGUUUCCUUCUGCCAGAAGGGUUUGGGCAGGUUAAAGAGGGCACCCAUAUCGAUAUUCCCACCCAGGCCUUCUGUGUUUAUGGCACCGUUUUGU